rnacentral:rRNA from 1 species
UACGUAGGUGGCAAGCGUUGUCCGGAAUUAUUGGGCGUAAAGAGCAUGUAGGUGGAUUACUAAGUCUGACGUGAAAAUGCGGGGCUCAACCCCGUAUGGCGUUGGAUACUGGUAGUCUUGAGUGCAGGAGAGGAAAGGGGAAUUCCCAGUGUAGCGGUGAAAUGCGUAGAUAUUGGGAGGAACACCAGUGGCGAAGGCGCCUUUCUGGACUGUGUCUGACACUGAGAUGCGAAAGCUAGGGUAGCAAACGGG